AGACCCGAAACCCGGUGAUCUAGCCAUGGGCAGGUUGAAGGUUGGGUAACACUAACUGGAGGACCGAACCGACUAAUGUUGAAAAAUUAGCGGAUGACUUGUGGCUGGGGGUGAAAGGCCAAUCAAACCGGGAGAUAGCUGGUUCUCCCCGAAAGCUAUUUAGGUAGCGCCUCGUGAAUUCAUCUCCGGGGGUAGAGCACUGUUUCGGCAAGGGGGUCAUCCCGACUUACCAACCCGAUGCAAACUGCGAAUACCGGAGAAUGUUAUCACGGGAGACACACGGCGGGUGCUAACGUCCGUCGUGAAGAGGGAAACAACCCAGACCGCCAGCUAAGGUCCCAAAGUCAUGGUUAAGUGGGAAACGAUGUGGGAAGGCCCAGACAGCCAGGAUGUUGGCUUAGAAGCAGCCAUCAUUUAAAGAAAGCGUAAUAGCUCACUGGUCGAGUCGGCCUGCGCGGAAGAUGUAACG
rnacentral:rRNA from 1 species